rnacentral:tRNA from 1 species
GCCAGCGUAGCUUAGUGGUAAAGCACUCCCUUGGUAAGGGAAAGAGCGGGAGUUCAAUUCUCCCCGCUGGCU